rnacentral:rRNA from 1 species
AUUCCAGCUCCAAUAGCGUAUAUUAAAGUUGUUGCGGUUAAAAAGCUCGUAGUUGGAUUUCUGCUGAGGACGACCGGUCCGCCCUCUGGGUGAGUAUCUGGCUUGGCCUUGGCAUCUUCUUGGAGAACGUAGCUGCACUUGACUGUGUGGUGCGGUAUCCAGGACUUUUACUUUGAGGAAAUUAGAGUGUUUCAAGCAGGCACACGCCUUGAAUACAUUAGCAUGGAAUAAUAAGAUAGGACCUUGGUUCUAUUUUGUUGGUUUCUAGGGCCGAAGUAAUGAUUAAUAGGGACAGUUGGGGGCAUUAGUAUUUAAUUGUCAGAGGUGAAAUUCUUGGAUUUAUGAAAGACUAACUACUGCGAAAGCAUUUGCCAAGGAUGUUUUCAUUG